GCCUCAGCCUUCCAAGUAACUGGGACUACAGGUGCCUCUCCACCCCUUCUGUCUGGGGGCUGUGAGGUAGGGAAUCUGCCAACUGCUUCCUGAGGGACCCCUCAGGGUUACUAGACCAAGAGGCGACCUUGAGGAAUGCUACUUGUCACCCCAAUUAACAAGUCUCACAUCUCUUCAGCAGGAAGGAAGGCUGCCUGACACAGAAAUCAGGUACUGAAGGCUGGCGAAUUUCCCACUGUGAGCCACUGGGGACAGCAGGGAUCGUAUGCCAAAACACCGCUAUCCUGCUCGUGCCCUGUUAGACACACUCUUGAUGCUGUUAAAGCCCAUUGACAGAAUGGGUUCGAUCAAGGUCAUUUCAUCAAAAGAGUUUUUUUU